GUGGGGAAUAUUGCGCAAUGGGGGAAACCCUGACGCAGCGACGCCGCGUGAGCGAAGAAGGCCUUAGGGUUGUAAAGCUCUGUUUUAAGGGACGAAUGUCGUGGGGAGUAAUAUGCUCUGCGAAUGACGGUACCUUAAGAGGAAGCCCCGGCUAACUACGUGCCAGCAGCCGCGGUAAGACGUAGGGGGCGAGCGUUGUCCGGAAUUACUGGGCGUAAAGAGCACGUAGGCGGGAACUUAAGUCAGGUGUGAAAGACCGGGGCUCAACUCCGGGGUUGCACUUGAAACUGGGUUUCUUGAGGGCAGGAGAGGAAAGCAGAAUUCCUGGUGUAGCGGUGAAAUGCGUAGAAAUCAGGAGGAAUACCAGUGGCGAAGGCGGCUUUCUGGACUGACCCUGACGCUGAGGUGCGAAAGCGUGGGUAGCAAACAGGAUUAGAAACCCUGGUAGUCC
rnacentral:rRNA from 1 species